CGGACGGGUGAGUAACACGUGAGCAAUCUGCCUUUGGGAGGGGGAUAACGUCUGGAAACGGACGCUAAUACCGCAUAAUGUAUGGUUUUCGCAUGGGAAGCAUACCAAAGAUUUAUCGCCCAAAGAUGAGCUCGCGGCUGAUUAGCUAGUUGGCGGGGUAAAGGCCCACCAAGGCGACGAUCAGUAGCCGGACUGAGAGGGUGAACGGCCACAUUGGGACUGAGACACGGCCCAAACUCCUACGGGAGGCAGCAG
rnacentral:rRNA from 1 species